GACGAACGCUGGCGGCGUGCCUAAUACAUGCAAGUAGAACGCAGUUGCGAACGGGUGAGUAACGCGUAGGUAACUGCCUCAUAGCGGGGGAUAACUAUUGGAAACGAUAGCUAAUACCUCAUACUUUGAGAUGUACCUGCUUUUUAUUAGCUAGUUGGUGAGGUAAAGGGUCACCAAGGCGACGAUACUUAGCCGACCUGAGAGGGUGGUCGGCCAAAAUGGGACUGGGACACGGGCCCGACGCCUAAGGGAGGAAGCAGUAGGGAAUCUUCGGCAAUGGACGGAAGUCUGACCGAGCAACGCCGCGUGAGUGAAGAAGGUUUUCGGGUCGUAAAGCUCUGUUGUUAGAGAAGCGUUAACUAACCAGAAAGGGACGGCUAACUACGUGCCAGCAGCCGCGGUAAUAC
rnacentral:rRNA from 1 species